rnacentral:rRNA from 1 species
AGUGAACGCUGGCGGUAGGCUUAACACAUGCAAGUCGAACGGCAGCACAGUAAGAGCUUGCGCUUACGGGUGGCGAGUGGCGGACGGGUGAGGAAUACAUCGGAAUCUACUUUUUCGUGGGGGAUAACGUAGGGAAACUUACGCUAAUAUCGCAUACGAUCUACGGGUGAAAGCAGGGGAUCUUCGGAGCUUGCGCGAUUGAAUGAGCCGAUGUUGGAGUAGCUAGUUGGCGGGGUAAAGGCCCACCAAGUCGACGAUCCGUAGCUGGUCUGAGUGGAUGAUCGGCCACACUGGAGCGUGAACAGCGACAUGGCUACUACGGUAGGCACCAGUGGCGUAUGUUAGGCAGUAGUGGCGAGCCUGGUCCAACCAGACCGCGUGUGUGGCAGAAGCCUUCGGGUUGUGAUGCCCUUUUGUUGGUAAAGAAAAGCAUCAGGUUGAUACCCCGCGGUUCUGACGGUACCCGGAGAAUAAGCACCGGCUAACUUCGUG